UAGGCGGCGAGUGAAGCGGCAAAAGCUCAAAUUUGAAAUCUGGCUCUUUCAGAGUCCGAGUUGUAAUUUGAAGAAGGUAUCUUUGGGUCUGGCUCUUGUCUAUGUUUCUUGGAACAGAACGUCACAGAGGGUGAGAAUCCCGUGCGAUGAGAUGAUCCAGGCCUAUGUAAAGUUCCUUCGAAGAGUCGAGUUGUUUGGGAAUGCAGCUCUAAGUGGGUGGUAAAUUCCAUCUAAAGCUAAAUAUUGGCGAGAGACCGAUAGCGAACAAGUACAGUGAUGGAAAGAUGAAAAGAACUUUGAAAAGAGAGUGAAAAAGUACGUGAAAUUGUUGAAAGGGAAGGGCUUGAGAUCAGACUUGGUAUUUUGUAUGUUACUUCUUCGGGGGUGGCCUCUACAGUUUAUCGGGCCAGCAUCAGUUUGGGCGGUAGGAGAAUUGCGUUGGAAUGUGGCACGGCUUCGGUUGUGUGUUAUAGCCUUCGUCGAUACUGCCAGCCUAGACUGAGGACUGCGGUUUAUACCUAGGAUGUUGGCAUAAUGAUCUUAAGUCGCCCGUCUUGAAACCACGGACC
rnacentral:rRNA from 1 species